ensembl:lincRNA
ACGUGGAGAGAAGGGGGAACGCGGGAUCCCCGGCCGGAAAGGAGUGAAGGGCCAGAAGGGCGAACCGGGACCGCCGGGCCUGGACCAGCCGUGCCCUGUGGUAGGUGUUGGAACGGGACAGGCCCCCCCGCCUCCAGCCCAGGCCACUGCCACCUGCAGCCAGGGUCGCCCCUGGCCUCACGCUCACCUUGGCUCUGGCCCGGGUGCCCACGCUGCUGCGGUCACUGUGGCUUCCGGUCACUCUGGUCUUGCCUGCCCUUCCCAAGGGGCUGGGUUUGGAGGACCCAACCCCCUCUUCAUCAAGGUGGAGGCCGGCCCCAGGGUGGGGACUGCUGGUCGGGGUCUCUGCCCGUAUUUAGUCAAGUCCAGGGCUGGCCUGAGUCGGGGCGUCCACCUUGGGCUGGGGCUGGAGAAGGGCUCGACCUGCUGCUGAGUUCAGGGAAAUCAGGGACUCCCUGGGAGGGGACCCUGGGAAGGAGGGACCCAGCAGUGCCAGGGCAAGGUGCUCAGACCCCCAGGUCCUUGCCACCUGGAGCCCCAAGCUGGGGCUGACUGCCUCCAGGUUUGAGGCAAGACUGGGUGAAACUCAGUUUCCUCUUCCUUAAAGGGCACCGUUCCUUUCAGGUCUUUCCUGCCAGAAGAAUGUUCUUCUGGUCUGGGAUGGGGGGUAACCCCCUGGCCCCCAGUUCUCCACAUGCCCCAGAACCCCCACCCCUGAGCCUCCUUCACAAAACUCCCCUCCUUUUUUGUUCUUCCCUAAGACCACCCCCCAAGACCCAGGGCCUCAAACAACCAAAAUCACUUCCCUACGUUAGAACGUUCACGGGCCUCACUCUUCUAGCCGAGGACAGAAAAUACACGACAAACAGCACAGCUGAGUCUCCACGUUAGAACUGACCAAAUAAGCGUCCCUGGCCACCCCAGCGAGGGGUGUGGGGGAGGGUCCUCCAGCCGGGCCUUGGGCGUGGGCACGCAGGAGAAUUCCAGAGGGGCGUCAGAGCCCAGAGGUCCUUCGAGUCAGUAGUGAGCCUUUGUCUUUGAAACAGGAGACUCCUAGGCGUGGCGGCAAGUGAGGGGCGCGCGGGGCCCCUGGGUCGCGGCCCUGCCCUGCGGUACGGUAUCUGGCCUGCUGCGUGCUGUGCUGGGCUGCUGUGCCCCUGCCUGUGCCCCCCCCUUCCUCGCUUGUGCCUUCCUUUCUGUUCCGCGCCCCCUCCCCUUUGGUCCUCAGCCUGUGUGCCUCGGGCCUGCCCCGGGGGUGUAAGACCCUGGCUGCGUCUACCUUGCAACCGAGUAGGCGUGUCCCAGCCUGGGGUCUCCCAGGCCCUCUAGACCCAUCAGCGCUCUUCAACUCGCCACCCACCAGGCUGGCCGAGGAAGCCUGUCCCCCUGGUUUGUCCACUUGCCCGGAUGGCCCAAGCCUACUGUGUCCCUUCCACAUGGGUCCCCAGACAUAGGACAGGCCAGAUGGGGGGUGGGAGUCUCACCACCUGGCAUUGAGACAUUCUGGAAGACUGUCCUGUCCUCAGCCUGAAAUCUCUCGGGCCCCCAGGGGAAGCCCCCGGCCCUCCUCCAGGCCAACAAAUGUCCAGACUGCCACCUGAUACUCCACGGUGUCCUUGUGUCUCUGGUCACUGGUCAGCCAUCCUGAAAGAGCAGAGGCACCGACAAAGCACUGUGGGAACGCUCUGGGGACACCGGCAGCUAGGGGCCCUCGGUCCCUGUGACCUGGUGGGUGGGAAGAGACGGGAGCUCCCUGGGCCUACCUACCACCGACUUGGGGGAGGCCUGUGCUGGGUGUCCAAGAGCUGAGCAGGCCCUGUCCCCCACCCGCCCCUCCCCGCCGCUGAAGCUUUCUUCCUUUCUAGGGCCCCGACGGGCUGC